rnacentral:rRNA from 1 species
UAAUUGAAGAGUUUGAUCAUGGCUCAGAUUGAACGCUGGCGGCAGGCCUAACACAUGCAAGUCGGGCGGUAACAGGGGGAAGCUUGCUUCUCUGCUGACGAGCGGCGGACGGGUGAGUAAUGUAUGGGGAUCUGCCUGAUGGCGGGGGAUAACUACUGGAAACGGUAGCUAAUACCGCAUAAUGUCUU